CAUACCAGCAGGUGCUCAGUUACUUGUGUCGAAGCCCUAAAGAAGAGCAGAAGUUGAGAACGGUCUCUGCCGUAUGUCUGAGGGAUAGCGGCGAGCGAGGAGAACAUCUGACCUCUUGCUCUCAGUAACAAGGAUUCAUCCUGUUGUGGAACACAAAUCCAACAGGGAAUCUCUGUUACUGGGGGUUAAGGUUCAGCGUUUCACUUGGUGGAGGUCAGAAGAUGCCGGAGACACCUUGAAAUCAAGGCAAAUGACAUUGAAAAAUGCUUGACUUCCUAUGAAUUGACCUGUGCAAUGAGAGGCCAAUGUUAAAAUUGCCCUUUUGCAUAAAAUUAACACAUUUAUCUCAUUAGAGAAUAUGAGAACAUACAAAGCUCUUGUCUAUAUUGUAUAUAUUAAGUCAAUUUUGAAAUGUUGGUCUAUUUUGCUCACAUAAUUGGUCUUCUUUUAGACUGGUGGAAAGAAAACACCCUAAGUGUGUAUUUGAUGACACUUUAUCUAUUUGCGUCUGUAGACUUCAAUUACAAUCUUCACUUCAGCAGCUUUACACACACACACCAAACUUUCCAGUUUUAUUCAUAUUUAUAUUCUGAAGGUUUUCACAGAGGAGUUUGUUGAUAUAUCAUUCACCUGACAUUAAACAUUUUAUUCCUAAAA